rnacentral:ribozyme from 1 species
UAAAAAAAAGAGACUUCGAGUGAACAUGUCGACUUUCGAAUAAACGAAAGGCUUUGCCGAUUCUUGUUUUUUUUUUUUCUUUUUUUUUUUUUUUU